AUUGAACGCUGGCGGAAUGCUUUACACAUGCAAGUCGAACGGCAGCACGGACUUCGGUCUGGUGGCGAGUGGCGAACGGGUGAGUAAUGUAUCGGAACGUGCCCAGUCGUGGGGGAUAACGUAGUGAAAAUUACGCUAAUACCGCAUACGAUCUAUGGAUGAAAGCGGGGGAUCGCAAGACCUCGCGCGAUUGGAGCGGCCGAUAUCAGAUUAGGUAGUUGGGGGGGUAAAGGCCCACCAAGCCAACGAUCUGUAGCUGGUCUGAGAGGGCGACCAGCCACACUGGAACUGAGACACGGUCCAGACUCCUACGGGAGGCAGCAGUGGGGAAUUUUGGACAAUGGGCGAAAGCCUGAUCCAGCCAUUCCGCGUACAGGAUGAAGGCCCUCGGGUUGUAAACUGCUUUUGUACAGAACGAAAAGGUUUCUACUAAUACUAGGAGCUCAUGACGGUACUGUAAGAAUAAGCACCGGCUAACUACGUGCCAGCCGCCGCGGUAA
rnacentral:rRNA from 1 species